UGAUGGAAUCUCCAUCACUGACAAUGUUUAAAUCAAGAUUGGCUGUUAUUCUAAAAGAUCUGCUCCAGGACAUAUUUUUGGGAAGUUCUCUGGCCUGUUAUAUAG